rnacentral:rRNA from 2 species
GGGGAAGAUGGUGAAUAAACGUGGGGAAACCUGCCCAGAAGCGGGGGAUAACACCUGGAAACAGAUGCUAAUACCGCAUAACAACUUGGACCGCAUGGUCCGAGUUUGAAAGAUGGCUUCGGCUAUCACUUUUGGAUGGUCCCGCGGCGUAUUAGCUAGAUGGUGGGGUAACGGCUCACCAUGGCAAUGAUACGUAGCCGACCUGAGAGGGUAAUCGGCCACAUUGGGACUGAGACACGGCCCAAACUCCUACGGGAGGCAGCAGUAGGGAAUCUUCCACAAUGGACGAAAGUCUGAUGGAGCAACGCCGCGUGAGUGAAGAAGGGUUUCGGCUCGUAAAACUCUGUUGUUAAAGAAGAACAUAUCUGAGAGUAACUGUUCAGGUAUUGACGGUAUUUAACCAGAAAGCCACGGCUAACUACGUGCCAGCAGCCGCGGUAAUACGUAGGUGGCAAGCGUUGUCCGGAUUUAUUGGGCGUAAAGCGAGCGCAGGCGGUUUUUUAAGUCUGAUGUGAAAGCCUUCGGCUCAACCGAAGAAGUGCAUCGGAAACUGGGAAACUUGAGUGCAGAAGAGGACAGUGGAACUCCAUGUGUAGCGGUGAAAUGCGUAGAUAUAUGGAAGAACACCAGUGGCGAAGGCGGCUGUCUGGUCUGUAACUGACGCUGAGGCUCGAAAGUAUGGGUAGCAAACAGGAUUAGAUACCCUGGUAGUCCAUACCGUAAACGAUGAAUGCUAAGUGUUGGAGGGUUUCCGCCCUUCAGUGCUGCAGCUAACGCAUUAAGCAUUCCGCCUGGGGAGUACGGCCGCAAGGCUGAAACUCAAAGGAAUUGACGGGGGCCCGCACAAGCGGUGGAGCAUGUGGUUUAAUUCGAAGCUACGCGAAGAACCUUACCAGGUCUUGACAUACUAUGCAAAUAUAAGAGAUUAGACGUUCCCCUUCGGGGGGACU